CACGGGGGGAGCAAGCGUUGUUCGGAAUUACUGGGCGUAAAGGGCGCGUAGGUGGCCUUCUAAGUUGAGCGUGAAAUCCCUGGGCUCAACCCAGGAACUGCGUCCAAGACUGGGAGGCUUGAAUCCGGGAGAGGGAUGCGGAAUUCCAGGUGUAGCGGUGAAAUGCGUAGAUAUCUGGAGGAACACCGGUGGCGAAGGCGGCAUCCUGGACCGGUAUUGACACUGAGGCGCGAAAGCCAGGGGAGCAAACGGG
rnacentral:rRNA from 1 species